rnacentral:misc_RNA from 1 species
AUAAUUUCCCUCUAGACCUAGCUGCUAUAGAAGCUCCAUCUAUCGAUGGAUAAGACCAGGGUCUUAGUGUAUAGGAGUUAUUGAAAAAUAAAGGAGCAAUAAUCACCUUCUUGUUCUAUCAAGAGGGUGGUAUUGCUCCUUUAUUUUCGUUUUAUUUAUUCUAGUUAAAUUUUUAUUCUUUUCUUUGCAUUACAGAUAAAGCAAAGCACUCUUAUGAGGUUCGUUCGUGAUUGAGUAUCAUACUUUUCUUUUUUAAUUUAAUUUUCUAUUAUCAAAGAUUCAAAUAUCUCAUAAAUAGAAAUAAAAACUAGAAAUGAUAAUAAGAAAUAAAAUGGUUGGAACUAAAUUCUAAAAUGAAAUAUUUAAUAGUCUAAAUAAAUUAUAAAAUUAUAAUAGGAAAUAAAUCUAAGAACUAAAUAGAAAUAGAGGGAAGGGGUGAAGGGGGCGGAUGUAGCCAAGUGGAUCAAGGCAGU